rnacentral:rRNA from 1 species
AUGAACGCUGGCGGCGUGCUUAACACAUGCAAGUCGAACGGUGACCUCGGAGCUUGCUCCGGGCGAUCAGUGGCGAACGGGUGAGUAACACGUGAGUAACCUGCCCCAGACUCUGGGAUAACAUCGGGAAACCGGUGCUAAUACCGGAUAUGAGACGAGACUGCAUGGUCAUCGUCUGGAAAGAUUUAUCGGUCUGGGAUGGACUCGCGGCCUAUCAGCUAGUUGGUGAGGUAAUGGCUCACCAAGGCGACGACGGGUAGCCGGCCUGAGAGGGCGACCGGCCACACUGGAACUGAGACACGGUCCAGACUCCUACGGGAGGCAGCAGUGGGGAAUAUUGCACAAUGGGCGCAAGCCUGAUGCAGCAACGCCGCGUGGGGGAUGAAGGCCUUCGGGUUGUAAACCCCUUUUAGCAGGGAAGAAGCGAAAGUGACGGUACCUGCAGAAAAAGCGCCGGCUAACUACGU